GUGGCCAUAGCUCAUCAGGCAGAGCACCCGAGUUGCAUUCGGGAGAGCUGGGAUCGAGGCCCAGUGGUCACCCCA
rnacentral:tRNA from 1 species